CUUUAACUCAGUGGGUAGAGCAUGAGACUCUUAAUUUCAGGGUUGUGGAUUCAAAACCCACAUUGGGGA